rnacentral:rRNA from 1 species
AUUCGCCCUUAGAGUUUGAUCCUGGCUCAGGACGAACGCUGGCGGCGUGCUUAACACAUGCAAGUCGAGCGGGGAUAUUAGUGGAAGUCCUUCGGGAUGGAAAUUAGUAUUCUAGCGGCGGACGGGUGAGUAACGCGUGAGCAAUCUGUCCCAGACAGGGGGAUAACAGAUGGAAACAUCUGCUAAUACCGCAUAAGACCACGAGGAGACAUCUUCUUGAGGUAAAAGGAGCAAUCCGGUUUGGGGUGAGCUCGCGUCCGAUUAGGUAGUUGGUGAGGUAACGGCCCACCAAGCCUGCGAUCGGUAGCCGACCUGAGAGGGUGAUCGGCCACACUGGAACUGAGACACGGUCCAAACUCCUACGGGAGGCAGCAGUGGGGAAUAUUGGGCAAUGGGCGAAAGCCUGACCCAGCAACGCCGCGUGAGUGAAGAAGGCUUUCGGGUUGUAAAGCUCUGUCCUAGGGGACGAAGGAAGUGACGGUACCCUGGGAGGAAGCCCCGGCUAACUACGUGCCAGCAGCCGCGGUAAUACGUAGGGGGCGAGCGUUGUCCGGAAUGACUGGGCGUAAAGGGCGUGUAGGCGGCCGAUUAAGUAUGGAGUGAAAGUCCUGCUUUCAAGGUGGGAAUUGCUUUGUAGACUGGUUGGCUUGAGUGCGGAAGAGGUAAGUGGAAUUCCCAGUGUAGCGGUGAAAUGCGUAGAGAUUGGGAGGAACACCAGUGGCGAAGGCGACUUACUGGGCCGUAACUGACGCUGAGGCGCGAAAGCGUGGGGAGCGAACAGGAUUAGAUACCCUGGUAGUCCACGCUGUAAACGAUGAAUGCUAGGUGUUGCGGGUAUCGACCCCUGCAGUGCCGGAGUAAACGCAAUAAGCAUUCCGCCUGGGGAGUACGGCCGCAAGGUUGAAACUCAAAGGAAUUGACGGGGGCCCGCACAAGCAGCGGAGCAUGUUGUUUAAUUCGAUGAUACGCGAGGAACCUUACCCGGGCUUGAACUGCAGGAGAACGAUUCAGAGAUGAUGAGGUCCUUCGGGACUCCUGUGGAGGUGCUGCAUGGUUGUCGUCAGCUCGUGCCGUGAGGUGUCGGCUUAAGUGCCAUAACGAGCGCAACCCCCGUCAGUAGUUGCCAUCGGGUAAUGCCGGGCACUCUGCUGAUACUGCCACCGCAAGGUGUGAGGAAGGUGGGGAUGACGUCAAAUCAGCACGGCCCUUACGUCCGGGGCUACACACGUGUUACAAUGGGGCAUACAGCGAGUUGGCCGCUGGCAACAUCGGUCUAAUCCAUGAAAGUGUCCCUCAGUUCGGACUGGGGUCUGCAACCCGACCCCACGAAGCUGGAUUCGCUAGUAAUCGCGCAUCAGCCAUGGCGCGGUGAAUACGUUCCCGGGCCUUGCACUCACCGCCCGUCA